CAGAGUAUCAUGCCCUUCGGGGUAGAUCUCCCACCCUGUGUAUUUAUACCUUUUGUUGCUUUGGCGGGCCGCCCUAGGCCACCGGCUCCGGCUGGUGAGCGCCCGCCAGAGGACCCCAAACUCUGAAUGUUAGUGUCGUCUGAGUACUAUACAAUAGUUA
rnacentral:misc_RNA from 1 species